rnacentral:lncRNA from 1 species
AUGAUUUUGACAGGAUGGGUCAGAUUGUCAGGCUUAGAGAUGGACCACUCCUAUGCAUUGCCCAAUUCUUCUACUCGUCUAAAGGCCAGACUCACUGAAGCUUUGGCUAGAGUGGAGAGUCUAGAGCGGGAGAAGCAAAAUGCAAAGACCCGGGAACGGAGAGCAAAGAAAACAGUAAAGAGUCUUCUGGAAGAUCUGAAGGAAAAGAACCUUAUAAAUGAGGAGUUGAAUGAAAGGCUUGGCUUCCACUCUGAUCUUCCGGUAGACCUCUUUUCAAAGCGGGGCCAUGAAUACACCAAGGACCAGAGAGAGUUUGGCCUCACACUGCACCUCCAUGGUCCGAAAGCCUACAGUUACCUGAAGGAUUCUCUGCAUCUUCCCCUGCCACAUCCACAUACAUUGCAACGGUGUGGAUGCAAUCAGUGGAUGUGGAUGUUGGACAUGUUGAAGAGAAGACGUGAAGAAGACCCUGCUAAAUAUGGCUCUGUGGCCCUCAUGUUGGAUGCCAUGGCCAUCAAAAAACAUGUCCAGUACAAUGACUGGAUAUGUGGAAAUUGCGAAUGGCAUGGAUGA